rnacentral:rRNA from 1 species
CAGCCGCCACGGUAAUACGAAGGGUGCAAGCGUUACUCGGAAUUACUGGGCGUAAAGCGUGUGUAGGUGGUUGUUUAAGUCUGUCGUGAAAGCCUUGGGCUCAACCUGGGAAUUGCGAUGGAUACUGGGCGACUAGAGUGCGGUAGAGGAUAGUGGAAUUUCCGGUGUAGCAGUGAAAUGCGUAGAGAUCGGAAGGAACAUCUGUGGCGAAGGCGACUACCUGGGCCAACACUGACACUGAGACACGAAAGCGUGGGGAGCAAACAGGAUUAGAUACCCCUGUAGUCCCUGUCUCUUAUAC